rnacentral:rRNA from 1 species
GGACAACCUACCCUCAGAUCAGAGCUAACUCCGGGAAACUGGAGAUAAUACCGGAUAAUCCGUGACGCUGGAAUGCCUUACGGUUUAAAGCUUUAGCGUCUGAGAUGGGUCUGCUGCCGAUUAGGUAGUUGCUGGGGUAACGUCCCAACAAGCCGAUAAUCGGUACGGGUUGUGAGAGCGAGAGCCCGGAGAUGGAUUCUGAGACACGAAUCCGGUCCUACGGGGCGCACAGGCGCAAAACUUUACACUGCGCGAAAGCGCUAAGGGGACCUCAGUGCGUGCGCAAUGCGUACGCUUUUCAUACGCCUAAAAAGCAUGUGGAAUAAGAGCCGGGCAAGACCGGUGCCAGCCGCCGCGGUAACACCGGCGGCUCGAGUGGUGGCCGCUAUUAUUGGGCUUAAAGGGUCCGUAGCCGGACCAGUUAGUCCCUUGGGAAAUCUUACGGCUUAACCGUAAGGCUGCCAAUGGAUACUGCAUGGUCUUGGGACCGGGAGAGGCAAGAGGUACCUCAGGGGUAGGAGUGAAAUCCUGUAAUCCUUGAGGGACCGCCAGUGGCGAAGGCGUCUUGCUAGAACGGGUCCGACGGUGAGGGACGAAAGCUAGGGGCACGAACCGGAUUAGAUACCCGGGUAGUCCUAGCCGUAGGCGAUGCGAGCUAGGUGUCACGUGGAUUGCGAAUCCAUGUGGUGCCGUAGGGAAACCGUGAAGCUCGCCGCCUGGGAAGUAC